AUAACUUUCUCGGCCUUUUGGCUAAGAUCAAGGGUAGAAUUUGUUUUUCAGUUUAAUAUUUGAUGAUACGUGAGCCAUUGGCUCACAUGAUAUGAAAUUAAUUUCUUGAGGAGGAGGACCCGUCACAAUAACUUGCUAUUGGGGUCUCUCGCUCGUCGCCUAGGCGUUGCACUACUGCCUUGGCCUGACGCACCCCAA